UACAGAGGUCUCAAGCGUUGUCCGGAAUCAUUGGGCGUAAAGCGCGUGUAGGCGGUCCGGUAAGUCCGCUGUGAAAGUCUGGGGCUCAACCCUCGGAUGCCGGUGGAUACUGUCGGGCUUGAGUACGGAAGAGGCGAGUGGAAUUCCUGGUGUAGCGGUGAAAUGCGCAGAUAUCAGGAGGAACACCAAUUGCGAAGGCAGCUCGCUGGGACGUUACUGACGCUGAGGCGCGAAAGCUAGGGGAGCAAACAGG
rnacentral:rRNA from 1 species